rnacentral:lncRNA from 1 species
UCCACAGAUGGCAGCUAGGGGUUUUAGUUAUCUUUAACCCUGGUCAACACCAGAUGUUUUGCUAAUUAGCUUAAUGAAAGUCAGAAAUAAACUGUCAAUGGUGCAAUUACAGACUUUAUAAAUAGAAUGCAAAACUCUAGAAAUAGGCUCUUGAAAUAAAUAGUGUUCAAAAAAUAUGAACUAGCUAAAAUACUUUAGUAUAUGGAUUUAGAAAUUCUCAGCUGAAUACCUUUCAGAUUGGCAUUCAAGCCAUUGCUUAUCAAAAGGUCUUGGUACCUUGAUAUUCUGGGAGUUCUGUUUGUUGACAAUAAUUAAGGCUAACUGAACUCUGUAGAUUACUAUUGUGUUUUUGACCAAAGGAUAUUACACCUGAAGUGCCAUUGGAACACUCAAAAAAUAGAGUUAGGAUAUUUUUCAAGUUUUAUGAUUUGGUUUUGAUAAUGUAUAUUUGUUUUAAAACUUUUAUGUAUCAACUGUGUAUGCAUUCAGUGCUGUACUGGACCCUUGGAUGAGAAAUGACUAAUGUAUAACACCCCAGCUUCAGGAAGCCUGUUAUCUGCUAAGCAAGAAACAAUUGCAGAUGCAUUAACAGGAACUGACUUCUUGCAUUUUAUUCCAAUACCUGCACAUUAUCUUCUUUUUUCCUGUCUGCCGCAUUAGAUGAGUUCCAUUUCAGCAGAGACGUGGAUUAACAAGCUUUCUCCUAGUACCUGCACGUGCCGAUGCUCAAUGCCAAUUUCCAGAGAAGGAGUAGGGUUCUCAUCUGUAAAAUCAGGAAAAUGGCAAGGACACCCAGUUCACAGUGACCCUGGGAGGAUGAAGUGGCCUGCCACAAGAUGAAUGAGAAGGAUUCUCAGACAGUGUAUGCAGGAUGAAUGCAAUUUCUAGGGGAGGAGAAAAGAAAGAACAUUCCAGCAGCGAACAGAAGGUAGAACGACA